UCGCCGCCUUCCACUUUUCCACUUAGCGGCUGCGAUGAAAGAUUUGCGGUACUUUGGCGGACAGAUGGCAACACGUGUUGUUGCCCCCAACCCCACUUUCUAUCGCGUCUGUGUGUGUGUGUUGUUUACCGCUCAGCCGUUGAACUUUCCAUUUAUUGCUAUUUCACCUUCGCUUCCAGUUGUUAUUGUUGGAAAGCUUAUAACAUUCCAGAUCGUUAUCGGAAUUCAAAGGAAAAUAUUUUUGAAAAAAUUCUGGGAAAUCACUCACUUAAGAUACUUGAUAGCUUAGAUCCGUCCGUCGAGUCCGCACUGUACACACCUCCCAGAGCGGACAUUAAACCGCAGCAGUGGUUCACAAUGGUCGGGCUUUGUUGUCGUUUCGUCGGCGUUAUCAAUUAAAUGUAAAGCGAGGCGCAGCGCAAACGAAAUGGAAAUGAAAAUGGCAGCCGUGAGAUACGCCAGCUACACCACUCACACAGAUACUACACACAGAUACCUCAUACUUAAUACCUUGUAUACGGUACAUAUAUAGUGCACACGUUUACAAAAGUUUGUUAUUAUUAUAUUUGCGACGAGCGGAAAUGCCAAUUGAAGCUACCUUUAACAAAGCCCCAUGAAGAUGCCCGCCCCCGGGGGUUAACUGGUGGGCUGAUGGACGGACGGAUGGAUGGAUGGACGGACUUUGUGCAUGACUCAAGUGUUUUUCAGGGGAGCCACUCGAGCCAAAGUUGAAAAUUGAUUGAUUCCACUAAGCGAACGGUCGGCGCACAUGGAAAUGGAAGCUAAAACCACUCGAGAGUGUUCAAGAUAACCUAGAUCAGGUGAGCACAAAAAUAAACAU